rnacentral:rRNA from 1 species
GGGCGCAAGCCUGAUGCAGCGACGCCGCGUGGGGGAUGACGGCCUUCGGGUUGUAAACUCCUUUCGCUUAUGACGAAGCUGUCUUUUUUUUAAAAAGGUGGUGACGGUAGUUUGAGAAGAGGCACCGGCUAACUACGUGCCAGCAGCCGCGGUAAUACGUAGGGUGCGAGCGUUGUCCGGAAUUACUGGGCGUAAACAGCUCAGUAUGUGGUUUGUUGCAUCGUCUG